rnacentral:tRNA from 1 species
ACAUUGGUGGUUCAGUGGUAGAAUUCUUACCUUCUGUAGUGGAGACCUGAGUUUGAUUCUCAGCCCGUGCA